rnacentral:rRNA from 1 species
UACCAGCUCUCCGAGUGGUAGGGAUGAUUAUUGGGCUUAAAGCGUCCGUAGCCGGCUUAGCAAGUUUCCUGUUAAAUUCAGCGACCUAAUCGUUGAGCCGCGGGAGACACUACUAGGCUAGGAGGCGGGAGAGGCCGACGGUAUUCUCGGGGUAGGGGUGAAAUCCUAUAAUCCCGGGAGGACCACCAGUGGCGAAGGCUGUCGGCUAGAACGCGCUCGACGGUGAGGGACGAAAGCUGGGGGAGCGAACCGGAUUAGAUACCCGGGUAGACCCAGCUGUAAACGAUGCGGGCUAGGUGUUGGGGUGGCUACGAGCCACUUCAGUGCCGCAGGGAAGCCAUCAAGCCCGCCGCCUGGGGAGUACGGCCGCAAGGCUGAAACUUAAGGAAUUGGCGGGGGAGCACCACAAGGCGUGAAGCUUGCGGUUC